UGGGGAAUAUUGCACAAUGGGGGAAACCCUGAUGCAGCAACGCCGCGUGAAGGAUGAAGGCCUUUGGGUCGUAAACUUCUGUCCUAAGGGAAGAUAAUGACGGUACCUUUGGAGGAAGCCCCGGCUAACUACGUGCCAGCAGCCGCGGUAAUACGUAGGGGGCGAGCGUUAUCCGGAAUUAUUGGGCGUAAAGAGUGCGUAGGCGGUUUCUUAAGCGCGGGGUGAAAGGCAGUGGCUUAACCACUGUUAGCCCUGCGAACUGGGAGACUUGAGUGCAGGAGAGGAAAGCGGAAUUCCUAGUGUAGCGGUGAAAUGCGUAGAUAUUAGGAGGAACACCAGUGGCGAAGGCGGCUUUCUGGACUGUAACUGACGCUGAGGCACGAAAGUGUGGGGAGCAAACAGGAUUAGAUACCCUGGUAGU
rnacentral:rRNA from 1 species